GGGGUUUCUGGGAGUCGCGAGUCGUCGUGGUGUCUGUGUGAAGUGCGGAGGUCGCUCGGUGGGACCUCGGCCAACGUUCCACAUACAACUGAAAUCAUAUGGUGAUACAGUCAAUAAUAUGGUCAGUUACAACACACACACAAACCAGAGUUCCUGAAAGCACUGUAGAUAAUACAUAUAAAUGCAACUCUCAGGAGUGUCUUUGGGAAGAUACAAGGCUAAUACUACUAACAGAAAAUGUGGAGAAGUCCAACCCAGUCAUCUAUGUUCUGUGUGGAUUCACUUGCAGAUGCCGCCUAGCACUUUUUCAGUGACGUCCUAGAAGCUUCUCUGUUAUCACAGGAAGACUUAGGCUAACUAGGGGAUGCUUUUUUCUCUAAUUUUUGUGAAUAUCUCUUCACUUGGUAAAAACCAGGGAGGGGAAAAAAAAGAAUAUUCUCCUUAGUAUUGUGCAACAAGUGAAGAAUGGUCAGAUCCAAAGAUAUCGUCCAUUGUGCUUUAAUUGGUUGGUUCUUGGCUGAAAAGGAAAGAAAGGCCUGAGUAGCCUGCUUGGCCUUUUUUUCCUGAAAGCUGAGUAGUGUGGGAGAAGCAACAGAAGAAGGGACAAGAAAGAAGUAUCAAUGUAGACCACCAAUGAUAAGGAAAAAGAAAACCACCACUGUAGACGGGCGAUAGGACAGUUCUGAAUGCGGGAGUCCCUACCUAGUGCAGCCCUCAGAGGACUGCCAUGCCACCCGUGUCUACUGCAUGUAUUGCACAUAGAACAUUGAAUUAUAAUGAAAAAUCUUGCUGUGUUGCAAAGUUGGCAGUAGUCAGUUGAAGAAAUGAAAUCUUCCCAGCUGUAGAAAGAUGCUGAAUAUUUAGAAAGGCAAAAAUGAUGGCAAAAGGAGGUGAAGAACCCCUGGAACUGCUGUCCCUCAGUGGCACCCCUGCCUCCAUCCCCUGCAGUGCUGUCUCCAGGAGAGUUCCCAGUCCUACAAAGAGUUUGGGCUUAUGCUGGGGGGAGAGGUUUGUGGGAAGGUAGGGCUGCUAUUUGGAAAUUGUAACUCUCAAGAGUUUGCCAUAGAAACACAGUAAGAUAUCUAGUAAAAUUACAAAGUACUGUUCAUAUUACAGGUAUAUUCAGUAGACAUGUACUGAUUAUUGUGGAAACCUAGCUAUUUGGUAUAACAUUGUUUCCAGGGGAAAAUACAUCCUGAAAUCUAAAUAAUUGCUCCACUGUAGGUUAUUUUUCCUACAUUGUAUACUUAACACCAAAAACAAGUAAUAAUUUUUUGACUGAAAAUAUUUUUUAAUAUGUUCAUUCCAAAAGUAUAUUCGGUUAUUGUGUCUAGUAGGAAAACUGUGUUAAUUCAGUUCCAUCCAACUUUCAGGUAGUUGAAGUGAAGAAAGAUAAAGUUUGGGUGAUAAUCAGGGCGCUGGGAUGACCAAGGGCCAGCACCCAGCUGGCUCUCCCUGGUUCGCUCUGUGCUGAGGCUCUGGCCCAGCACAGUGCAUUUUAAGCUGGGUGGCAUAUUUUUUUUACCUACCCCUGUUGUCUCUAAGGUAAUAGGAAUGAAAAAAUAACCAAUUUUAAUUCCUCAGAAAAUUUCCUUUUAUAUGAAAUUAGGAAUUUAACUUGUAUCUCUUAAUUUUUUUUCUUCUGUAAAUUAAUAAGGGAAAAGAAGCCCAGUAAAUUGAAUCCACUAAAAAAAAGAAUUAAAACAAAAUCAUCUAACCUAAAGGUACCUUGGCACUAAACCCCAAGUAAUGUUCAAAUUCUUUGAUUUUAUCAAAACUUUUUUGUAUAAUGUAACUGAAAUUUGUGAAUGCUCUGCUGGGGUGGCAAAAUACCUAUUUGUGUUGUAGUCUUCUUUUUUAAUAAAGUAUGACCUAUAUAGUUAAUGAUCUUGUAAGAUGCUGUUUUAUAUUGUGUAGCUAUUAAAAAAACUACAAUGUCUAGGUUGUAAUACUUCUUAGGCAGAUUUCAUUGUUAAACACCCAAGAUUAGCAUGAACUCUUAAAUAUUGUUUUGAUUAUGCAAGAGAACUCUUUAGUAUUUGGUGCUCUUAAAAAUGAGGGAAGAAUACGUGUAGAUAAAUAAUAUAGACACAAUUCUCUGUUUUUGGUAAAAAUACAUGCAUUGCCAUUUUAUGCUUGUUCUGUAUCUCUACAUUAUUACCCUUUCAUGGCCUCCAUGUUCUUAUGCCAGCAAGAAAUGUAAAUGCUAUUAACAUUUACAAACUACUCAUAUACUGUAUGAGUAUAUUCAUUCCCUUAUUUACUCAUUCAACAGACAUUAAAGACACAGAGUGAGGAUAUCAGGGUUCUUGCCUAAGCAGUGUGUAAGAAUUGGACCAUACAUCUGGAUCUUAUGAAGAGAUCUUCAAGAUUAUGCCCCUUACUUGAUAUAGGGUUUGGCAGACUUUUUUCUGCAAAGACCUAGCGAAUACAUAUUUUACAGGUAGUUGUCUCUAUGACAACUGCUUGACUCUGCCUUUGUGCAAAGAAUUUGGCAUCACAGGCCUAGAUUAGGUGACCUUUCUUAAUUUGCUUGCUCAUUAUUGAAAUAUAGAUAAUAAUAGUAAGUAUUUUAAAAUAUUUUUUGUUAUUCUAACUGUAUAUUCAUUGGUGUGAAAAAUUAAUCAAAAGCCAACUAUAUAAUAAACACUACAUUUAUAAAAAUAUUUAACUGGAAUGACCUGUCUAUUUCAUACCUGGAUAGGUACCAUAAAGUUUAGAUGGAUCAAGAGUAAAACUUCAAAAAAUCUGUACAUACUAAAUAUACUUGAAAAACACAUUUGUCAGGUCCUUUAGCACACACAAUGCUUUCUAUCUUUUUCAAAGUAACACUUCAUCAUAAAUUGUUUGAUUUUAGUAGAAGUGCCAUUAUGUAUGACAGAGACUUCCAUUUUAAUUAAAGUUGAAUUUUGAGAGUUUUCCAAAACCUAAUUUAUAUGAAUAGUUUGGAUUGACAUGUCGUAGUGCAAAACUAGUCACAAAGAGUCUGAAUGUAUUGUGUGCUGGUCCGAGUCCCCAGUUAGGAUCUCACAGCUGUUAUUUGUACUGUCUUUGAGAUCUCAAGUGAAGUUAACAUAUGGUAGUUCCAUAGAUAACCCUUUAUGGCUACAGAUAGACAGUGCAGCAAGCAUAGUAAUUUUUCUAUAGUAAAUAUUUUUAAAGUAUCAAACUCAUUGUCUUAUUCCAUUAGAGUCAUAAUUCCCUUCAUUCCUCAACCAACAUUAACAUUGGCACUCAAGAAAUGUGUCAUAUAGUAAGUAAAAUGAACAUGUGCCCGAGCUGACAAAGCUAGUACGUGAAUACAGAUCUGAAUGAGUUGUGGGGGUUGGGAAAUGUGUGUUUUGGGAGUAGCGAUUCAGUGGAAACAAACCUUUUCUCUGAUGACCAUUAGGUAAUAGCUGUCAAUAAUUUAAAAAUGGAAAACCAUUUUUCUUGAAGAAUACUUUUUAUGGAGAUGAACUUGAAAAUUUAAAAUAAAAAAAAUUAAAUGCUCUCACUGAGCAUUUAAUCAGUGAAUAUAAAAUGGCACCAUUUAUUAGGGUUGCACAUUUGUAAAAGCAUCAGUAUAUGAUGUUUUCUGUGGUUGAGAUCCAAUGAUACCAGGAGAAUGGCUCAGCCAAUGCACAAGUGCAAGAUUCGCACCCUAUUGAGAAUUUGUAUUGAAAUGAAGAUUGACAGCCAUGCAUUUUAAUAAUGUGUGCUUCAAACUAGAUCAGGUAAGGAGUUCUUUGACCAACUCAUUAUGAUUAUGUAUUGUUAUGACUAUAUAUGGGGAAAUUAAAAGUACAUAACCAAGCACUGAUAUGGAUCAUCAUUCUUGUUUCAUUCUCUUUUCUGUAUGAAGUAGUCACUAAUCUGAUAUACUUGGGGGUCUUUUUUUGUAUAAUGGACAUGCAACAUUAAGUUAGUUUCAGGUGUACAACAUAAAGACUCCACAUUUGUAUAGAUUGCAAAAUGGUCACCACACUAAGUCUAGUUACCAUCACCAUAUAAACUUACAAACUUUUUUUCUUGUGAUGAGAACACCUAAGAUAACUUCCUUUGCAACACGGUAUUAUUAAACUACAGUCACCAAAGUCAUCAUGCUGUACAUGACAUCCCCUUGACUUGUAACUGGAGGUUUGUACCUUCUGAUCCCCAUCACCCAUUUUACCCACCCUCCAUUCCUCUCUCUUCUGGCAGCCGCCAGUCUCUUCUCUGUAUCUGAGUUUUGUUUUGUUUUGUAUGUUUGUUUUUCAGAAUCCACAUACAAGGGAAAUAACGGUGUUUGUCUUUCUCUGGCUUAUUUCACUUAACAUAAUACCCUCGGGGUCCAGCCAUGUUGUCACAGAUGGCACGAUUUCAUACUUUCUUAUGACUGAGUAAAAUUCCAUUAUAUACAUAGCACAUCUUUAUCCAUUCAUCCGUUGAUGGACACCAAGGUUGUUUCCAUAUCUUGGCUAUUGUAAAUAAUGCUGCAAUGAACAUAAGGCUACAUAUAUCUUUUGAAAUUAGGGUUUCUGUUUUCUUUGGGUGAAUACCCAGAAGUGGGUGACAUUGCUGGAUCAUUUUGUAGUUCUAAGUUUAAUUAUUUGAGGAAUCUCCAUAUUAUUUUCCAUAGUGGCUGCUCCAUUUUAUGUUCCCACCAAUGGCAUAUGAAUGUUCCCUUUUUUCCACAUCCUUGCCAAUGCUUAUUUCUUGUCCUUUUCAAUUCAAGCCAAUAAUAGCCAUUAUGACAAGUAUGAGGUGAUAACUCAUUGUGGUUUUGAUUUAAUUUCCCUGAUGAUCAGUGAUGUCAAAUAUCUUUUUGUAUGCCUGCUGGCCGUCUGUAUAUCUUCUUUGGAAAAAAGUAUUCAGAUCUUCUGCCCAUUUCUUUAACUGGGUCUUUUCUUUUUUUUGUUAUUGAGCUGUUAUUUGUUACUGUUCUUUAUGUAUCUUGGAUAUUAACCCUUUAUUAGACAUGUGACUUAUAAAUAUCUUCUCCCAUUCAGUAGGUUGCCUUUUGUUUUGUCGAUGGCAUCUCUGUGCAGAAGCCUUCCAGGCUGAUGUCAUCCCACUUGCUUAUUUUUCUUUUGUUGCCUAUGCCUUUGGACUCAGGUCCAAGAAAAUAUCACCAAGAGCGAGGUCAUAUCGCUUACUAUCUAUGUUUUCUUCUAGAAGUUUUAUUGUCUCUGGUCUUACAUUCAAGUCUUUAAUCCAUUUUGAAUCAAUUUUUGUGUAUUGUGUAAGGUAAUAGUCCAGUUGUCCCAACACCAUUUAUUGAAGAUACUGUUCUUUCCUCAUUGUACAUUCUUGUCUCCUUUGUCAUAAGUUGAUUGACCAUAUAUGCUUGGGUUUAUUUCUGGACUUUCUAUUCUGUUGCAUUGGUCUGUGUGUCUAUUUUAAUGUCAGUAAUACACUAUUUUGUUACUAUAACUUUGUGAUAUAGUUUGAAAUCAUGGCAAGUGAUGCCUCCAGCUUUGUUCUUUCCCAAGGUUGGUUUGGCUACUUGGGAUCUUCUGUGGGUCCAUAAAAAUUUUAGGAUUGAGGCAUUUGUUUUGUUUUUUUUUUCUUUCAUUAAGGUAUUAUUGAUAUACACUUUAUGAAGGUUUCACAUGAAAAACAAUGUGGUUACCACAUUCACCCAUAUUAUCAAGUCCCCCAUAGCCCAUUGCACUCACUGUCCAUAAGUGUAGUAAGAUGCCACAGAGUCACUAUGUGCCUUUUCUGUGCUCCACUGUCUUCUCCCUGAUCCCCCCCACACACCAUAUGUGAUGCACUUGCUUUUAAAAAACAAGUUUCCAUGAUGUAUAAGCAGCCAUUAGGAAAACAUUUUACUUUUAACUGAUGUUAAAUUUUUUAAACAUAAGUAUAUGACAUCUAUGUGUUUUCUCUUUCUUUACAAAUGAUCUUUAUUAAAGCUAUUGCAGAGAACAUGUUUGUCACAAUGACAGAUGGGAAAUAUUGAUAAUGAGUACCCUUAAUGAUAACUCCAUUUAACUUAGAAAUUUAUAGAAACAAUUGGACUUUUUAGAAUAUUGCGUAAGAAACUCAGAAUCCUGCCACCAAUAUACUACUAGGUGUUGCAUCUUUUAUUUAGGGUGUCACUGAUAUUUCAGCCUGUUGUGGCAGUGUGCAUUUAACAAUUUUAGUUUGUAAUAAACCGCUAUAUUACCAUUCAUGAAAGGUACUCUGAUGUCAUAAAAAUGAAGUAAUUUGUGCUCUUAAUUUCCUAACUUGUCCAUCACUUUUUUUUCUGUGGCAGGUUUGCAUUUCAUGGCCAUGAAAGAGUAGAGCGCACGUUGCUAUUAUAAAAGACCAUUUCCUUUCAUUCUAUCAUUAUAGUCAUUUUAAUGCAUUUAGUGUUUAUAGAUAAUUAACUAUUUGACAGAGCUGUAGAGCACUUGAAAACUAAAAUGUAUUGUGCUGCCAGUUGUAGAUUAAUUCUUCAAUUAGAAAGGUAAUUUCUAAAAUGAAGAUGUAAGUGGGUGGGAAGUUAAAUUGGACUCACAGAAACUUGCUACAUACUUGCUCUGGAACAUAUGUAAUGCAUAGUUGGUUAUUUCUAAGAAAAAUUAACAUUCAGACACUUCAGUUCUGCUUCACAGAUUUAUGGUAGAUACUUGCUUUUCAAAGCCAGUUGAAUUCACAGGGGACACACGCAAUAUACUGCUGCUCAGGGUUUUAUCUUCCUGGAUGUCAUUGCAACUCACAGCACUUAUCCGACCACCGGAGAACAAGUUUUAGGAAUUAACAUCCUUUUCAUAUUGCUAGGAUUGACUGUACCCCCGACUGAAGCUAUUGUUUUUAUUUUAAAUGGUUCAUUUUGGGAAAGAUUGAAGUGAUUUACGAACAGGGAAUAACAAUUCUG